GAAUUGCUAGUAAUGGCAGGUCAGCAUACUGCCGUGAACACGUUCCCGGGCCCUUGUACACACCGCCCGUCACACCAUGAGAGUUGGGAAUACCCGAAGCCUGUGAGCUAACUUUUAGAGGCAGCAGUCGAAGGUAGAAUCAAUGAUUGGGGUGAAGUCGUAACAAGGUACC
rnacentral:rRNA from 1 species